rnacentral:piRNA from 1 species
UCCAAACCCUCUAACAAGUUGCCUUGGUC